GGGGCUGGGGCUCAGUGGCAGAGCGCUUGCCUAGCACACAUGAGGCCCUGGGUUCGAUCCUCAGCACCA
rnacentral:tRNA from 1 species